AAGUCGUAACAAGGUUUCCGUAGGUGAACCUGCGGAAGGAUCAUUAGAAAUCACCGGCCUAGCCGGUAUAAAAUUCUAUCCAUUUUGUGUGCAAUCAAUGGAAAAAAGAGAGAAAAUUGGAUGCUUUUUGUAUCCAACCUCUCUAAAAAACUUUAUAAACUCCAUCAAAUUUUGAAUAAAACUAAUAUUUUAAUAAAAUAUAUUAUACAACUUUCAACAACGGAUCUCUUGGCUCUC
rnacentral:misc_RNA from 1 species